rnacentral:rRNA from 1 species
GUCAGCAGCCUCGACAUGCCAGAGUCAUAUCUCCCCUGUUUUCCUACUGAAGCUAAGCAGGUUUGAGCCUGGCCAGUACCUGGAUGGGAGACCUCUUGGGGAAAACCAAGGUUGCUGCUGAUU